CCUACGGGAGGCAGCAGUGGGGAAUAUUGCACAAUGGGGGAAACCCUGAUGCAGCGACGCCGCGUGAGCGAAGAAGUAUUUCGGUAUGUAAAGCUCUAUCAGCAGGGAAGAAAAUGACGGUACCUGACUAAGAAGCACCGGCUAAAUACGUGCCAGCAGCCGCGGUAAUACGUAUGGUGCAAGCGUUAUCCGGAUUUACUGGGUGUAAAGGGAGCGUAGACGGAUGGGCAAGUCUGAUGUGAAAACCCGGGGCUCAACCCCGGGACUGCAUUGGAAACUGUUCAUCUAGAGUGCUGGAGAGGUAAGUGGAAUUCCUAGUGUAGCGGUGAAAUGCGUAGAUAUUAGGAGGAACACCAGUGGCGAAGGCGGCUUACUGGACAGUAACUGACGUUGAGGCUCGAAAGCGUGGGGAGCAAACAGGAUUAGAUACCCCAGUAGU
rnacentral:rRNA from 1 species